rnacentral:rRNA from 1 species
GAUGAACGCUGGCGGCGUGCCUAAUACAUGCAAGUCGAGCGAACAGACGAGGAGCUUGCUCCUCUGACGUUAGCGGCGGACGGGUGAGUAACACGUGGAUAACCUACCUAUAAGACUGGGAUAACUUCGGGAAACCGGAGCUAAUACCGGAUAAUAUAUUGAACCGCAUGGUUCAAUAGUGAAAGACGGUUUUGCUGUCACUUAUAGAUGGAUCCGCGCCGCAUUAGCUAGUUGGUAAGGUAACGGCUUACCAAGGCAACGAUGCGUAGCCGACCUGAGCGGGUGAUCGGCCACACUGGAACUGGGACACGGUCCAGACUCCUACGGGAGGCAGCAGUAGGGAAUCUUCCGCAAUGGGCGAAAGCCUGACGGAGCAGCGCCGCGUGAGUGAUGAAGGUCUUCGGAUCGUAAAACUCUGUUAUUAGGGAAGAACAAAUGUGUAAGUAACUAUGCACGUCUUGACGGUACCUAAUCAGAAAGCCACGGCUAACUACGUG